rnacentral:rRNA from 1 species
GGAUGACGGCCUUAGGGUUGUAAACCGCUUUCAGCAGGGACGAAAUUGACGGUACCUGCAGAAGAAGCCCCGGCCAACUACGUGCCAGCAGCCGCGGUAAUACGUAGGGGGCAAGCGUUGUCCGGAUUUAUUGGGCGUAAAGAGCUCGUAGGCGGUCUGGUAAGUCGGAUGUGAAAUCUCCACGCUUGACGUGGAGGGGUCAUUCGAAACUGCCAUGGCUAGAGUUUGGUAGAGGAGUGCGGAACUCCCGGUGUAGCGGUGAAAUGCGCAGAUAUCGGGAAGAACACCCGUAGCGAAGGCGGCACUCUGGGCCAAUACUGACGCUGAGGAGCGAAAGCGUGGGGAGCAAACAGGAUUAGAUACCCUGGUAGUCCACGCCGUAAACGUUGGGCACUAGGUGUGGGACUCUAUCGACGGGUUCCGUGCCGUAGCUAACGCAUUAAGUGCCCCGCCUGGGGAGUACGGCCGCAAGGCUAAAACUCAAAGGAAUUGACGG